GGCCGGGUGGUGUAGUGGUCAGCAUGUUAGCCGCGUAAGCUGAACGCGGGUUCGAUUCCCGCCUCGGCCA